rnacentral:rRNA from 1 species
UGCAAGUCGAACGAGGUCCAUGCAGUAGCAAUACUGCGGAAGACCUAGUGGCGAACGGGUGAGUAUCACGUGAGAAACCAACCCCGGUCUUUGGGAUAACAGUUGGAAACGACUGCUAAUACCGAAUGCCGUCGUUGCCUCGCAUGGGGCGAUGACGAAAGGGCUACCGGAUCGGGACGGUCUCGCGGCCUAUCAGCUUGUUGGGGAGGUAACGGCUCACCAAGGCUUCGACGGGUAGCUGGUCUGAGAGGAUGAUCAGCCACACUGGGACUGAGACACGGCCCAGACUCCUACGGGAGGCAGCAGUGGGGAAUCUUGCGCAAUGGGCGAAAGCCUGACGCAGCAACGCCGCGUGCGGGAUGAAGGCCUUCGGGUUGUAAACCGCUUUUACCAGGAACGAAAAUGACGGUACCUGGAGAAUAAGGUGCGGCCAACUACGUGCCAGCAGCCGCGGUGACACGUAGGCACCAAGCGUUGUCCGGAUUUAUUGGGCGUAAAGAGCUCGUAGGCGGUUCAGUAAGUCGGGUGUGAAAACUCUGGGCUUAACCCAGAGACGCCACUCGAUACUACUGUGACUAGAGUUCGGUAGGGGAGCAGGGAAUUCCUGGUGUAGCGGUGAAAUGCGCAGAUAUCAGGAGGAACACCGAUGGCGAAGGCACUGCUCUGGGCCGAAACUGACGCUGAGGAGCGAAAGCGUGGG